UACGUAGGAUGCAAGCGUUGUCCGGAAUUAUUGGGCGUAAAGAGCGAGCAGGCGGUUACUCAAGUCAGAUGUAAAAUAUCCCGGCUUAACCGGGAGGGGCCAUUUGAAACUGGGCAACUAGAGUGAAGCAGAGGAUAGCGGAAUUCCCGGUGUAGUGGUGAAAUGCGUAGAUAUCUGGAGGAAUACCGGUGGCGAAGGCGGCAUCCUGGACCAUUACUGACGCUGAGGCGCGAAAGCUAGGGGAGCAAACGGG
rnacentral:rRNA from 1 species